rnacentral:lncRNA from 1 species
CCAGCACUUCCGUGAUCUCGGGCGUCACGGCCCUUCCCAGCCCACCCCUGAGCCGGUGAGCCUGCGUCCUGGACUGACCGGCCUGCAUGGUGACCCCAUCUACCUGCGCAGCGUGCUCGGCCACCUCAAGGUCGCCUAAGUGUUAGGUUCCAGGCAGGGCUCCCGAUGCUGGGCGGGAGGAUAACCGGGCACUUUUCCGUCCCGCUCCAAGUUUCGGAGCCGUGCCGGCCUCUGCCGAGUACCCGCCGCGUGGGGCCGGGCCCCAGCUCCCACAUCCCUUCUUUCUCUCAGGGUCUCCGGAACCCUCCUGCCUUUGCUGGGACUCCGCACGGGCUGGACCUGCCUGCCCCCUUCCCCAAGACUCAGGCUUCUCUGGAUAGUUGCUUUGCUCUGUGGUGGACACGGCAUGCUCCAGCUCUGAUGCCCAGCAACAAAACUCCACAGCCAGAGAAGCCAUGCGCACCCAGCUGCAAUGUAUGUGCCUUUGUUCCUUCCAAGCAUUGUCAUCCUGUGCUUACAUGAGUGCUCAGAUGAACAUUCCUUGGGAAUAAUAUAUGUCAAACUCUAAAUAAAGGUCUCUGUGUUUGUAAUUCACAGAAGCAUAGACUGUUUUAUCUCUUUCCCGGAUGAAAGACUUGUUCUGCUGAUGCCUGGAGAGUUGUUUUGAAGGACUCUAAGGAAGGACAAAUGAAGCAGAUUAUCCCUC